rnacentral:rRNA from 1 species
GAUGAACGCUGGCGGCGUGCCUAAUACAUGCAAGUCGAGCGAACAGAUGAGGAGCUUGCUCCUCUGACGUUAGCGGCGGACGGGUGAGUAACACGUGGAUAACCUACCUAUAAGACUGGGAUAACUUCGGGAAACCGGAGCUAAUACCGGAUAAUAUAUUGAACCGCAUGGUUCAAUAGUGAAAGACGGUUUUGCUGUCACUUAUAGAUGGAUCCGCGCCGCAUUAGCUAGUUGGUAAGGUAACGGCUUACCAAGGCAACGAUGCGUAGCCGACCUGAGAGGAUGAUCGGCCACACUGGAACUGAGACACGGUCCAGACUCCUACGGGAGGCAGCAGUAGGGAAUCUUCCGCAAUGGGCGAAAGCCUGACGGAGCAACGCCGCGUGAGUGAUGAAGGUCUUCGGAUCGUAAAACUCUUUUAUUAGGGAAGAACAAAUGUGUAAGUAACUAUGCACGUCUUGACGGUACCUAAUCAGAAAGCCACGGCUAACUACGUG